AAGACAAAUCCGAGUUCAGGCUGUGGAUUGGCUGAUCCCUCAUGAAUAUGUAGAUUACUCUCACCCUUCACCUCGCUCUGGAAAAACCAGCCACCAUGUUGUAAGGAUGCUCAAGUAGCACUAUGGAGAUUCACACGUGGCAAAGAGCUGAGGCCUCCCACCAACAGCCACAUGAGGGAGCCAGAGUAGGAGUGGCUCCUCCAGCCCCAGUCGAACCUUCAGAUGUGACAGACUUGGCUGCUGACAGUUUGCAAUCUCAUGAGACCCUGAGCCAGAACCACCCAGCUAAAUCAGUCCUGGACUCCUGAUCAACAGAAAUGGUGUAGGUGCUGGAUGGGGCCAGAUACACUUGGUCUGUGUGGAUGACAGACCAAAGAGAGGCGUUUUGAACAUUAAGACGCUUUGCUGCUUCUCACCUGAAACACGUAACAGGAACACCAACCUCUUCAGCCGCGGGAAAUCUUCUUUGACACAAAACUCAAACCGAGUCAACCCAAAGUUCCAAGUUCUUUGCUUUCUCUUCUGUGUGUGUGUUGGUUUGUCCCAAAAGUCAGUUUGCAAGUUGAAACUUCAUGAAAUUACUCGUAGCAGAAAUAAAGUACAUUGU
rnacentral:lncRNA from 1 species